GAUGAACGCUGGCGGCGCGCCUAACACAUGCAAGUCGAACGAUUGAACCACCAUCGGGUGCGUAUACGGUGGCGAACGGCUGAGUAACACGUGGGCAAACUGCCCCUUUCAUUGUGAUAGCCACGGGAAAACGUGGACAUAACCGAAUACUUCAAAACUUCCGCAUGGAAGACCCGAGAAAGCUCGGGCGGAGAGGGAUUGGCCCGCGGCCUGUUAGCUUGUUGGGGCGGUAACGGCAUACCAAGGCAAUGAGGGGAAGCUGGGCUGAGAAGCCGACCAGCCAGAUUGGGACUGAGACGCGGCACGGACUCCUACGGGUGGCAGCAGUGCGGAAUCUUGCACCAUGGGCGAAACCCUGAUGCAGCGACGCCGCGUGCGGUAUGGCGGUCUUCGGGUUGUAAACAGGUUUCAGCAGGGACGAGGCGAAAGCGACGGUAACUGCAAAAGUAGCCCCGGCCAACUACGUG
rnacentral:rRNA from 1 species